UGAUGCAGCCAUAUCACCCUGUAGCCCAAGACUGGUUGCCCACUGAAGCUAAGCAGGGCUGAGCCUGGUCAGUACCUGGAUGGGAGCCCUCCUGGGAAAACUAGGUUGCUGCUGGAG
rnacentral:rRNA from 1 species